rnacentral:rRNA from 1 species
GACAGAGGGUGCAACCGUUGUUCGGAAUUACUGGGCGUAAAGCGCGUGUAGGCUGCUCGGAAAGUCGGGUGUGAAAGCCCUGGGCUUAACCCAGGAAGUGCACUCGAAACUUCCGAGCUCGAGUCCUGGAGAGGGUAGCGGAAUUCUCGGUGUAGAGGUGAAAUUCGUAGAUAUCGAGAGGAACACCGGUGGCGAAGGCGGCUACCUGGACAGUGACUGACGCUGAGACGCGAAAGCGUGGGGAGCAAACAGG